UCUGCUAAACCAAAGUAGUGAACCUGCAAAAUGUCUGACACCGAAGAUAAGAAGAAGGGUGCAAGCAAGGCAGCAACAGCCAAUGCCAAGGAGAAUGAAGCUGCAGCAGUUCCGAAGAAACGCGGUCGGCCUGCAGCCGAGAAAAAAGAGGCUCCUCCGAAAGAAUCAAAGCCUGAGGAGGUAGAAGACGAAGAGCCUGAAGAAGGAGAAGAGGAUGAGGAGCCCUCACCACCAAAGAGAGGUCGAGGCAGGCCCAAGAAAGGCACAACAUCUGCUCCUGCUCCGAAGAAGGUCCCAUCAGGCAGAGGCAGAGGACGGCCUCCAAAGAACAAGGGAAAAGCUGCAGCUGCUAGCGAAACUAACGGAGAUGCCUCCGAUUAACUGAGAAAAGGGCUCGUUUCUCUUCCAUCGAUAACUCACCAGCCUCUCUGGUUGUAAAAAUAUUGCUACCUAAUCUGGGCUCUCACAAUAAGCAGAUUCUUUCAGAGGUAUUAUAAUUACUUUUUAUUUGCAAUUUUUGCACUAUGAAAUGUAGAGACAAAGCUAUCUUUAUGGGUUUUACAUUCUCACGGAAAAUUUGGGCCCGUUCUUAUGGCAAUGACAAUCUGAAAAUGAAUUUUUCAUGUAUUUUACUAAAAUUGUUGUUCUGUGUUUUUUUGCAAUUUAAGCGGUUCAUUAAAUGGGCCCUGUUUUUUUUUAAAUUUUUCUAGUUGAAUUGGUUAUAAUUAAUGAAUUUCUCGUUACUUCUACAAAAAAAUUUAAUAGAUAGUUCUUAGAUUUUAAACUUCCAACUCAUUUUGAUUAAUAAUUUUUGGUUACCUCUCUUAAUUAAUUUAUUGGUAGCCUUUUUAGUCCUUCAAAGAUUGUGUUUUAUUUGACUGAAUGUUUUAUUUUAAGAUGAAGACUUCUUACUAUCAGUCUUAAAUUUUUCCUCACAUAAGUCAAAUCUCAUCUAUAAUAAGAAGUUACUAGUUAACCUUAGAAUAGUAGAAAGUCGUUUUUGUUUCUUUUUUUGCUAGUGUUCUAUGAAAUCAUCACAUACUUUGCUGUGAACUUUCUUAUAUUCUCUUUUCUUAUCUUAGGAGCUUAGGUAUAAGUAAAUCUUGACUUUAUAUAUGCAGGCCAUUAAUAAUGAAGUAAUUUUAACUCAUGAGUGAGAACAUAUGAUCUGACAACUUUCUAGAGUCCAAAUCAUUGUUUAUACUCUCUGUCACGAUUAUUCUCAUAACCAUAUCACUUUUUAUGGCUUUUAGCCCCUUCUUUUAAAAUCAUUGGUAUUUUUUAAAAUAUUUUCCACCAAUAGACUUGUAAUUUUAAUAUUUCCUUCCAUAGACAAAUUAACAAUGGUCAUUCAGUGUGGAGGAGUGUUUCCUCUCUUCUAUACACUGUUGUCUGGCUGCAAAAUCAUGUUCAUUUAUCACUCAUAGUUUUAUCUGGCAAGAUCUCUUUUCCUUCUCAUAAAGCUGCUAUUUGUCAUAUCAAUAAUACAAUUACAUAUUAAAAUGUAUUUCAAUUUCUCAAUUCUGUUUUAUUUACUUCAAACAACAGAAAGGUGCCCUUCUCAUACUCAGCACCCAGGCAGAAAGGAACCACCGUGUUUAUCAAAUAAAAAUUGUUUAUCUUCAUCUAAAAAAUUGCCUAGAGCAGUAAAUAAUUUUGUUCUCCCAUCAGAAAGUUGUUAAUUUUAAAGGAAAAUGGCUACGAAAAUUGUAUUAUGUACUGUACCUAUGUUCAACAUAUUUUAAAGGGAAAAUUGUUGCACAAUUUUAGAAACACUUUAAUCCCGUUGGUUCCUUUCUGCUAAAUGCAAUCCAAUUGCAGUGUGUAUCAGAAGAAAAAAAUAAAAUGUGCCUAGAAAAAUGAAAUAAAAAAACUCAAGUUCAAGAAAGAAUACUAACAGUAAGUCUUCCAAACUGGUGAUUAAAUUAAUCUUAUAAGCUAAAAUUCUUUCACAUGAGUCGAUGAACAUGUUAAGAAUUAUUUAGAGGGGAAAAAAAUAGGCACACAUAAACUUGAAUUAUGGUAUUUUAUAUUACUUUUUAAGCAAUUAAGAGGUAUUGCAUAUCUAUUACACAAAAUUAUAUCCUACUAAUAGGUACAAUGAGCCAUCAGAGCAUGAUUUGAUCAGCAAGACGCCUUAAAUAUGUCAAAUUCAGUAAUCUCUAAAUUCUAUUUUAAAUGGAGAAAAUAAUGUACAUUUUAACUCAAGCUGUAAGCAAGUUGAGCUGUUUUUACAGCAGGCUCAGGCCGCCAGCAGUUCCUCAAUUUUGAAGAGCAUGUUCAACAUUCUUGCCUCAACUUGUGGCCAGCCACAUACCUGCCAACACAAUUUGGUCUCAGGACAUUAAGAAAGCAAAAUAACACAAUUUGGUCCCAGGACAUUAAGAAAGCAAAAUAAAGACAAUUGCAACCUGUUAAUGCAAUAUUUAUGAGCAGAAAUUUUAUUAAAGCCUUUCAUGGGAUUAAUUCUGUAUGAAAAGUAACCUAAAUGCAAGCACAGCCACCAAGGCUCCCUUCAGUUGCCAUUCAUCGAUUUGAAGAAAAAGGAAAUAAUUCCCGAAUGACAUAACUACUUCAUACUUUGUACUGGCACCAUCUUAAUGACUUUUGCUGGGUUCCCACCGACAACAGCAUUAGCUGGCACAUCCUUCGUCACAACAGCGCCAGAACCAAUGACAGCAUUAUCACCGAUAGUGACACCUGGGUUUAUGAUAGCACAACCACCGAUCCAUACAUUAUCACCAAUUGUCACAGGUUUUGCAUACUCUUUGCCCGAAUUUCGCUCGACAGGAUCUAAAGGAUGUGUAGCAGUGUAGAUGUGCACAUUAGGUGCUAGCAUACAAUUCUUGCCAAUGCGGAUGGGACAUACAUCCAACAUCACGCAGCCAAAAUUAGCAUAGAAGUUGUCACCAAGGUAGAUGUUGUAUCCAUAGUCACAACGAAAGUCAGGCUCAAUAAAUGCCUUUUUGAAAGGCGGCAAAAGUUCAGUCAGUAUUUUUGACGCAACUCCUCAUCAUCUGGCCCUAACUGAUUAUAUUUGUGUACCAAUCGUCUUGCUCUGAUUCGCUCAGCCACAAGGGUGGGAUCCUCUGCAAUAUACAUCUCACCUGCAAUCAUUUUGCGUUUCCCCCUCGCACAGGGGGUUUUCUGAGUUAUCAGUGGUAGCCAUUUUAACGGAAGAAACUUCUUGCAAGGACGAUGACAGGGCCUUCGUUUUAAUCAGCUUUAUGCAUCCAAAUGUGAUAUGAAUUACCCAACGUUGGUGCACGUGGGCUGAAGAUUCAAACUGCAGGAGAGAUUUCUCUUGCAACUAAUUGACCUGAAAUUAAACAUGCUAAAUUAACAAACACAUUUGCAAAUACAAUAUUAGUCUUCAUCAAAUACAUGGCCAUGGCCAUCAAGGGGAAAAGUGACCUUAGUGCCGAAUAUUAAAAAUUGAGAUACCUACUGGUACUGGUGUGUAAAGAAGUGUUUUCUGAACAUUUUAGCACAGGGACAGCCUUUACUUUAGGUAUGACCUGCGCUCUACAUUAUUAGAAUUUGAAUUUAGUAAUUCAAAAUUAAUCUCUGGCCUGAGACGUUUCUGCCACUGGGUGAGCGCUGAAUAUUUUGAGCCUAGACAAUUAGUUUUCAUACAGCAAAUGAUCAUUAGGGGGCAAAUUUGAACAAUUUUUUGGGGGAUUCACAAAAAUUUUCUAAAACAGACUCUUGCUACCUGUUCCUAAUCUAACGUUGCCUGAUCA
rnacentral:lncRNA from 1 species